AAUGGUCUGAUCCACGGCAUAUUCUUUCAAUUCUUACCACCGCCACCUGUUUCUAAUUUCUCAUCGUACUUAGAUACACUCUCUGCACAAACUCAUCAGAUUGCAAACAUAUUUUCCCCUUUUCACCAUUGUUCUUCGCAACCCUUCUUCAAUCAUCUCCAGAUGGCUACUCUAAUCUCUGACACUGCACCAUGGAAGGAUUUGAAGGCUCAUGUUGCGGAAAUUGACAAGACUCAUUUGCGUGAUUUGAUGACUGACACUGACCGAUGCAAGUCGAUGAUGCUUGAGUUUGAUGGAAUAUUCCUGGAUUACUCAAGACAGCGUACCACUGUUGAUACGGUGUCUAAGCUCUUUACACUUGCUGAGGCAGCAUGUCUCAAAGAAAAGAUUAAUAGUAUGUUCAAUGGGGAGCAUAUAAACAGCACGGAGAACAGGUCUGUGCUUCAUGUUGCUCUCCGUGCUUCAAAAGAUACAGUUAUAAACAGUGAUGGGAAGAAUGUGGUACCUGAUGUGUGGCAAGUUCUGGACAAAAUUCGAGAAUUCUCGGAUAAAGUUCGCAACGGUUCCUGGGUUGGAGCCACAGGGAAGGCAUUGACAAAUGUGAUUGCUAUUGGCAUUGGUGGAAGCUUCCUUGGUCCAUUGUUUGUGCACACCGCUCUUCAAACAGAUCCAGAGGCUAGUAAAUCUGCAGGAGGUCGCCAGCUCCGCUUUCUAGCAAAUGUUGAUCCAGUAGAUGUUGCCAGAAAUAUUUCAGGCUUCGAUCCUGAGACCACCUUAGUUGUUGUAGUUUCGAAGACUUUUACUACAGCUGAGACCAUGCUGAAUGCACGGACGUUGAGGGAAUGGAUCUCAUCUGCUUUGGGACCACAGGCUGUUUCAAAGCAUAUGGUUGCGGUUAGCACAAAUCUCAAGCUUGUGGAGAAGUUUGGGAUUGAUCCUAAUAAUGCUUUUGCAUUCUGGGACUGGGUAGGAGGUCGAUACAGUGUUUGCAGUGCUGUUGGAGUGUUACCUUUAUCUCUCCAAUACGGUUUCUCAGUCAUUGAGAAGUUCCUGAAAGGUGCUAGGAGUAUUGAUCAGCAUUUCCAGUCCACUCCUUUUGAGAAUAAUAUACCUGUUCUUUUAGGUCUGUUGAGCAUAUGGAAUGUUUCUUUUCUUGGAUAUCCUGCGAGAGCUAUCCUACCUUACACUCAAGCUCUUGAGAAGCUUGCUCCACACAUUCAACAGGUUAGCAUGGAGAGUAAUGGGAAAGGAGUAUCCAUAGAUGGUGUGCGUCUUCCUUUUGAAGCUGGUGAAAUUGAUUUUGGUGAACCAGGAACAAAUGGCCAACAUAGUUUUUACCAACUAAUUCAUCAGGGGCGUGUUAUUCCUUGCGACUUUAUUGGUAUUGUGAAGAGUCAGCAACCGGUCUACCUUAGAGAUGAAGUGGUGAAUAACCAUGAUGAGCUCAUGUCCAACUUUUUUGCACAGCCUGAUGCUCUUGCUUAUGGGAAGACCCCUGAACAAUUGCAAAGUGAGAAUGUUGCAUCUCAUCUUAUUCCUCACAAGACCUUUUCUGGGAAUAGGCCAUCUCUUAGCCUUCUACUUCCAUCAUUGGAUGCUUAUAGAACUGGGCAGAAGUUAGCAUAUAGCAUUACAAAAUCCKUCUCUCUUGUCUAUUCAGUUGCUAGCUAUCUACGAGCACAGAAUUGCUGUGGAGGGUUUCAUUUGGGGCAUCAAUUCUUUCGAUCAGUGGGGAGUUGAGUUAGGGAAGUCACUAGCAUCCCAUGUAAGAAAGCAGCUUCAUGCAUCCCGUAAGAAAGGAGAAUCGGUUGAGGGCUUCAAUUUCAGUACAACUAAGUUGCUAACAAGAUAUCUUGAGGCUAGUGCAGACGUGCCUUCAGAACCCACAACUCUUCUGCCCAAGAUAUAACUACUACUUAACGGUGGUGAAGUUGUCUACAACUAAACCAACUGAUAACACAUCGAUAGGACGCUUUAUAAUGUAUGACGCCAACAUUCUUGUCGUCCAGCGAGUUCUUUUGCAUUUUGCUUUUUUUGUAACUGCAUGACUCACAUUGUACGAGCAUAAUUCUUGCCAUUUUGAAGCGAUCCAAAGUAUCGGAAUAAUCGUCUUUCGUCUUUCUUUGUUGAAUAAAUAAUAUGCUAGUUGUGGGACAUAAAUUGGUGGUUGUUUCUCAAGAUUGUUUGGUGGAUCUCUUAAUCA